CCUACGGGAGGCUGCAGUGGGGAAUAUUGGACAAUGGGGGCAACCCUGAUCCAGCCAUGCCGCGUGUGUGAAGAAGGCCCUCGGGUUGUAAAGCACUUUCAGUGAGGAAGAACGCCUGGUGGUUAAUACCCAUCAGGAAAGACAUCACUCACAGAAGAAGCACCGGCUAACUCCGUGCCAGCAGCCGCGGGAAUACGGAGGGUGCGAGCGUUAAUCGGAAUUACUGGGCGUAAAGCGCGCGUAGGUGGCUUGAUAAGCCGGUUGUGAAAGCCCCGGGCUCAACCUGGGAACGGCAUCCGGAACUGUCAAGCUAGAGUGCAGGAGAGGAAGGUAGAAUUCCCGGUGUAGCGGUGAAAUGCGUAGAGAUCGGGAGGAAUACCAGUGGCGAAGGCGGCCUUCUGGACUGACACUGACACUGAGGUGCGAAAGCGUGGGUAGCAAACAGGAUUAGAUACCCCAGUAGUC
rnacentral:rRNA from 1 species